rnacentral:rRNA from 1 species
ACUGACGCUGAGGCGCGAAAGUGUGGGGAGCAAACAGGAUUAGAUACCCUGGUAGUCCACACUGUAAACGAUGAACGCUAGGUGUAGGGGGUAUCGACCCCUUCUGUGCCGCAGUUAACACAAUAAGCAUUCCGCCUGGGGAGUACGGCCGCAAGGUUGAAACUCAAAGGAAUUGACGGGGGCCCGCACAAGCAGCGGAGCAUGUGGUUUAAUUCGACGCAACGCGAAGAACCUUACCAGGUCUUGACAUCCAGGUAAAGCAGUAGAGAUACUGUGUGUGCUUGCACAAUCUGAGACAGGUGGUGCAUGGUUGUCGUCAGCUCGUGUCGUGAGAUGUUGGGUUAAGUCCCGCAACGAGCGCAACCCUUACUUUCAGUUACUAACACGCAGUGGUGAGGACUCUGAAGGGACUGCCGGGGACAACUCGGAGGAAGGUGGGGACGACGUCAAAUCAUCAUGCCCCUUAUGACCUGGGCUACACACGUGCUACAAUGGCCACCACAGAGAGGAGCGAACCCGUAAGGGGGAGCGGAUCUCAAAAAAGUGGUCCCAGUUCGGAUUGUGGGCUGCAACCCGCCCACAUGAAGUCGGAGUGCUAGU